UAAGGAAUAUUGGACAAUGGGCGCAAGCCUGAUCCAGCCAUGCCGCGUGAAGGAUUAAGGUCCUCUGGAUUGUAAACUUCUUUUAUAAGGGACGAAAAAAGGGAAUUCUUUCUCACUUGACGGUACCUUAUGAAUAAGCACCGGCUAACUCUGUGCCAGCAGCCGCGGUAAUACAGAGGGUGCAAGCGUUAAUCGGAAUUACUGGGCGUAAAGGGCGCGUAGGUGGUUGUUUAAGUGAGAUGUGAAAUC
rnacentral:rRNA from 1 species